rnacentral:rRNA from 1 species
UUAAGCUACUAAGAGCAUAGGGAGAAUGCCUAGGUACCAAAAGCCGAAGAAAGACGUGAUAAGCUGCGAAAAGCCACGGGGAGAAGCAAAUAUUCAAUAAUCCGUGGAUGUCUGAAUGAGGAAACUCUAACCAAGAAAAAAGUUGGUUAAUCCAUACAUGAGUAAAGUAGUGUAUAGGAGGGGAACGUGGGGAACUGAAACAUCUAAGUACCCACAGGAAAAGAAAGAAAACUCGAUUCCUAAAGUAGUGGCGAGCGAAAUAGGAAGAGCCCAAACCAGAAGAAGAAAUUCAUCUGGGGUUCGGACUACAUAAUUGAUUCAAUGAGUUUAGUAAAAUUGUUUGGGAAAGCAAACCAAAGACGGUGAAAGUCCAGUAUACGAAAAACAAGUUGACAAGGUAGAAUCCAGAGUAGUGCGAGACACGUGAAAUCUCGUAUGAAGGAGCGGGGACCACCCCGUAAGGCUAAAUACUAAUUGGUAACCGAUAGUGAAGAAGUACCGUGAGGGAAAGUUGAAAAGAACCCCGGGAGGGGAGUGAAAUAGAACCUGAAACCCUAUGUUUACAAGCAGACAAAGCACGUUAAGGUGCGAUGUCGUACUUUUUGUAGAACGGUCCGGCGAGUUAUUUUAUAUGGCAAGGUUAAGUACUAAAGGUACGGAGCCGAAGAGAAAUCGAGUCUGAAGAGGGCGAAUAAGUCAUAUGAAAUAGACCCGAAACCGAGUGACCUAUCCAUGUCCAGGCUGAAGCUUGAGUAAAAUCAAGUGGAGGGCCGAACUCAUAGACGUUAAAAAGUCUCGGGAUGAGGUGUGGAUAGCGGAGAAAUUCCAAUCGAACUCGGAGAUAGCUGGUUCUCCUCGAAAUAGUUUUAGGACUAGCCUUGUUUCGUAGCAUUUGGGGGUAGAGCACUGAAUGAGGUAGGGGCCAACACGGUUACUGAACUCUAUCAAACUACGAAUACCAAAUGUGUAAGAACAAGAGUCAGACUGCGGGAGCUAAGUUCCGUGGUCAAAAGGGAAAGAGCCCAGAUCGUCAAUUAAGGUCCCAAAGAUAUAGUUAAGUGGAAAACGAUGUGAUUUUGCGUAAACAACCAGGAUGUUGGCUUAGAAGCAGCCAUUCAUUCAAAGAGUGCGUAAUAGCUCACUGGUCGAGUGAAGUUGCGCGGAAAAUUACCGGGGCUAAACUAUACACCGAAAUUGCGGAUUUGCAUAGAAAUAUGUAAGUGGUAGAGGAGCAUUCUAUAGUAGGACGAAGCAUAAUCGAAAGGAUAUGUGGACGAGAUAGAAGAGAGAAUGCCGGAAUAAGUAGCGAAAGCAUGGUGAGAAUCCAUGCCAUCGAAAGUCUAAGGUUUCCUGGGGAAGGUUCGUCCGCCCAGGGUAAGUCGGGACCUAAGGAGAGGCCGAAAAGCGUAUCCGAUGGACAGCAGGUAGAAAUUCCUGCACUACGUAAUACUUAAAAGACAUAAAUGACACAGGAGUGGAAGAUAAGCGAGGAAGAGGAAAGACUCGUAUCGAAAGAUAUAGUGAAAAUUAAAGUAACGAAUUAUCAAGAAGCUAAUGGCGAGAAAAGUUUAUGGAUAUUGUAUUAAGUACCCGUACCGCAAACCGACACAGGUAGAUGAGGAGAAGAUCCUAAGAUGAGCGAGAGAAGCAUUGUUAAGGAACUCGGCAAACUGACCCCGUAACUUCGGAAUAAGGGGUGCUGGAGUAAAAUCCAGUCGCAGAGAAUAGUCCCAAGCAACUGUUUAACAAAAACACAGGUUUCUGCUAAAUCGAAAGAUGAAGUAUAGGAGCUGACACCUGCCCAGUGCUGGAAGGUUAAGGGAAAGAGUUAGACGCAAGUCGAAGCUUAGAACUAAAGCCCCAGUGAACGGCGGCCGUAACUAUAACGGUCCUAAGGUAGCGAAAUUCCUUGUCAGGUAAGUUCUGACCCGC